rnacentral:lncRNA from 1 species
GCAGGUAGCACAGUGGAAAGAAUACCAGGUCUGGAUUUGGGAUGAAAUAGUUUCAAAUCUGGCCAUACUUUCUAGCUACGUGACCCUGGGCAAGUCAUUUAACCCUGUUUGCUUAGCCCUUCCCACUCUUCUGCCUUGGAAUCUUAUUCAGUAUCCAUUCUAAGACAGAAAAGUAAGUGUUUAAAUAUAUAUGUAUAUAGAUAUACACAUAUAUAAUUAGCUACUGUUAUUUAUUAUUCUAUAAAAUAAUUUUUUAUUAUUCUCUUCUUAAUUUAUAGACCUUCUGAAAUCUCUCCAUAUUAAGAGUCCCUGCUGGAAGGUACUGGAUCAAUACCAUCCCUUGCCAGUGCCAAGGGUAACAUGAAAGCCAAAGGAGCAGAAUAAAGUUCAAAGAUCUCUCACUCAGUUUGCAAAAGAAUGCUGGAAUCUUUCAGGGCCUCAGUCUCCUGUAUCAAGGAAAGAUAAAGACUGCAGACCUGAGCAGAAAAUUUGAUGCCCAAACACAGAACUCAAGAAAAACAUCAAAAGAGAAAAGUUGUAGAAAUUCACAGGCAGGAAAGCUCUAGCUCUCAAGGGGAUUGACUACAACAUCAUACCCAUUGACCUUUUAAAGGACAGGGACC